rnacentral:ncRNA from 1 species
UUAGCUAUUUUAGAUAGGUUUGUAUUCAUGAAUUCAUGGAUGCAAACAAUGCACGUUUGUAUCUAUGAUGGCUGAAGAACUUUAAAUUGACUUUAAAGCCAUGUAGAUGAUUCAUCUAUAAUGGCUUUUUUCUUUUAGUAGACCCAU